CCUACGGGGCGCAGCAGUAGGGAAUAUUGCUCAAUGGGGGAAACCCUGAACCAGCAACGCCGCGUGGAGGAUGACGGUUUUCGGAUUGUUAACUCCUUUUGUUCGAGAAGCUAAUGACGGUCUCUAACGACUAAGCACCGGCUCACUCCGUGCCCGCAGCCUCGGUAAUACGGAGGGUGCAAGCGUUACUCGGAAUCACUGGGCGUAAAGAGCGCGUAGGCGGGAUAGCAAGUCAGAUGUGAAAUCCUAUGGCUUAACCAUAGAACUGCAUUUGAAACUGUUAUUCUAGAGUAUGGGAGGGGUAGGUGGAAUUCUUGGUGGAGGGGGAGAAUCGGUAGAGAUCAAG
rnacentral:rRNA from 1 species